GAGCUAAAGCUCAAAAGUGACAUGCACAAGAAGUGGAAAAGGGGAGAAAUCACCAAAGAAGAAUUCAAACGUAUAGCCAACACUGUAGGGAAAAGGUUCGCAAGGCUAAAGCGCAAAAUGAGCUCAGGCUUGCCAGGGACAUAAAAAACAACAAAAAAGGCUUUUUUGCUUACGUUGGUAGAAAAAGGAAGAAAAAAAGAGGUGAUAGGGCCAUUGCAAGGAGAAGAUGGGGUGAUGGCGACAGGGGACAGGGAAAAGGCAGAACUACUUAAUGCCUUCUUUGCCUCGGUCUUCUCAGAAAAAGAAAGCCAUCUUCAACCUCAGCAACACGGAAUGGACGAAGGAUUGGGGGAAAUCCAACCCCAAAUAGGGAAACAAGUUGUCCAGGAACACUUGGGCUCUCUAAACGAAUUCAAGUCCCCAGGGCCAGAUCAGCUACACCCAAGAGUACUGAAGGAACUAGCGGAAGUUAUUUCAGAACCACUGGCAAUUAUCUUCGAGAGUUCUUGGAGAACGGGAGAAGUCCCAGCAGAUUGGAGGAGGGCGAAUGUGGUCCCUAUCUUCAAGAAGGGAAAAAAGAACGACCCAAACAAUUACCGUCCGGUCAGCCUCACAUCAAUACCAGGCAAGGAUCUGGGAAAAAUUGCCCAAAUAUGAACGGAAGGACAGCUGCGAGAGAAGAGAGAUGCGAUGCAUCGUGGGAAACUCGACCACGUAGGCCGAGAGGCAGCAAAAAGAAAAGAAAGAAAAAAGCCGCAGGCAGCAAAGACCACACGCUGAGCCGGCCACAGUUGGCCGGCAUGCAUCCCCUAGAGAGAGAGAGAGAGAGAGAAAAAAAACCAGAGGACCCCGACCCAAAGGAAGGAUCUGGGAAAAAUUGCCCAAACGUGUGCGGAGGGACAGCAGCGAGAGAAGAGAGAUGCGAUGCAUCGUGGGAAACUCGACCACGUAGGCCGAGAGGCAGCAAAAAGAAAAGAAAGAGAAAAGCCGCAGGCAGCAAAGACCCCACCCUGAGCCGGCCACAGUUGGCCGGCAUGCAUCCCUGAGAGAUCGGCCCGGCCCUCCCACAAAGUUUUCUGCUUUAGCGACCUUAGCCUCUACCCACGCCAACACCCCACCACCCAAGGGGAAGGGCGUGUUUUCUUCACGUCUGCUAUUGAAAUGUGGGCCCAAGCCCCUCUGACCAGGGGGGCCGGCCACCGUUGGCCGGCCCCACGCCCACACCCCACCACCCAAGGGGAAGGGCGUGUUUUCUUUACGUCUGCUAUUGAAAUGUGGGCCCAAGCCCCUCUGACCAGGGUGCCCGGCCACCGUUGGCCGGCCCCACGCCAACACCCCACCACCCAAGGGGAAGGGCGUGUUUUCUUUACGUCUGCUAUUGAAAUGUGGGCCCAAGCCCCUCUGACCACCGUUGGCCGGCCCCACGCCCACACCCCACCACCCAUGAGAUCUCACCCUGCACUGCCCAUUUCUGCCUAGAAGCAGGAAUUUCCUUCUUGAUUGUCUCUCUCAUACCACGGUGUUUGUCACAUUACCCUGGCCGAUCACAAACAAGAUCCAAGGGCUCCAUUCCACCAUGUUUCCUAACCAGACUUCUGUGUCAACCAGACCAGAGCCCCAAAGUCUCUAGCCGCCACAAAGGCACACUCCCUGACAGCAAACCGUCAGCGGCCCUGGCCGCACCCCUACCGGAUGGACACAAGCAAGCUGGCAGUCCGCAGGGUAGUCGUGGCCACCAUCACAUCAAUAAUGAUUAUAACAAUAAUAACAACAGUAAGAUCUUUAUUUUUAUUCCCCGCCCCAUCUUCCCGGAGGGACUCUGAGCGGCUUCCAUGGGGCAUGCCUGUCAACAAUACAAUGGCAGAAAUAAAACCAAAAAAAUAUAUACAAGAAAAUGUUGCAUCAAUAACACAUAAAAUAAAACAGCUGUCACAGUCAGCAUACAGCAUUACCUGCUUAAAAAACAGUGGUGUAAAAACACGGCUCUGGUCCGAGGGCAGAAUACUUCCACAGAGAUGAGGUAGUUUGACAGUUAAAAAUCAAUAAAGUGCGAAAUACUCUUGGCCUGGCAACCAAUUCUUCAAUAGGCAACGAUCCACCACACAGUCUUCGAAGGAUUUUUGGAAGAGGAAGGUUUUAAGGCUCUGAUGUUAGGCUCAUGUUUCUAUGUAGUUGAACUAGAGGGAAGACUUGUGUGUGUCUGGUGUUAUUAAAGUUCUCUAGCAGAUGAGCUGGAAAGAGGGAAAUGACUUCUGUUGGUAUACAGUUUCAGUAAAGUUGAGGAAGUAAAAUAAUGAAAGAUAUUGUCUUUAUGGAGUAGAAAUGAAACCAAAGAACUUAAAUAUAGCACAAAUGUUGAGAAAAAAGAAACCAUGAAGACAUAACUCAUUGUUUUUAAUAGCAAUACAGAGUUUCUGAGUGGUUUGUUUCUCUACUUAUGAGUCUGCGGAAGAUUAGCAUCACAUACCACACCCGCUCAAGGCGAUGGGACAGUGAAAGAAGACAAUUUUGAGAAGUGGCGAAGGCCGAGGUGUCCCACUUUCUGCGGUGUGAUUCCACCCUCUUCUAUCGCCCCACCAAAAAGCCAGCAAAAAG
ensembl:lncRNA